UGAGAGGAUGGCCAGCCACACUGGAACUGAGACACGGUCCAGACUCCUACGGGAGGCAGCAGUGGGGAAUCUUGCACAAUGGGCGAAAGCCUGAUGCAGCGACGCCGCGUGGGGGAUGAAGCUUCUCGGAGUGUAAACCCCUUUCGACCCGGACGAAAACCUCGCAAGAGGAUUGACGGUACGGGUAUAAGAAGCCCCGGCUAACUACGUGCCAGCAGCCGCGGUAAGACGUAGGGGGCCAGCGUUGCUCGGAAUUACUGGGUGUAAAGGGUUCGUAGGCGGUGUGGCAAGUCGGGAGUGAAAUCUCUGGGCUCAACCCAGAGUCUGCUUCCGAAACUGCUGUGCUUGAGUGUGGGAGAGGCGCGUGGAAUUGCAGGUGUAGCGGUGAAAUGCGUAGAUAUCUGCAGGAACACCCGUGGCGAAAGCGGCGCGCUGGACCACUACUGACGCUGAGGAACGAAAGCUAGGGGAGCAAACAGGAUUAGAUACCCUGGUAGUCCUAGCCCUAAACGAUCAGGACUUGGGGUGCCACCCGUUCGGGUGUCGUCCCGGAGCUAACGC
rnacentral:rRNA from 1 species